UCUGGCGGCAGUAGCGCGGUGGUCCCACCUGACCCCAUGCCGAACUCAGAAGUGAAACGCCGUAGCGCCGAUGGUAG
rnacentral:rRNA from 1 species